GACGAACGCUGGCGGCGUGCUUAACACAUGCAAGUCGAACGGAGUGGCGAACGGGUGAGUAACACGUGGGUGAUCUGCCUUGCACUUCGGGAUAAGCUUGGGAAACUGGGUCUAAUACCGGAUAGUGCAAGAUGAGCUCGCGGCCUAUCAGCUUGUUGGUGGGGUAAUGUCCUACCAAGGCGGCGACGGGUAGCCGGCCUGAGAGGGUGUACGGCCACAAUGGGACGGAGAUACGGCCCAGAGUCCUACGGGAGGCAGCAGUGGGGAAUAUUGCACGAUUGGCGGAAGCCGUAUGCAGCGACGCCGGGUGGGGGAUGAAGGUCUUCGGGUUGUAAACUCCUUCCGACAGUGACGCGGUACCUGUAUAAGAAGCACCGGCUAACUACGUGCCAGCAGCCGCGGUAAUUC
rnacentral:rRNA from 1 species